AUUGAACGCUGGCGGCAUGCUUUACACAUGCAAGUCGAACGGCAGCGCGGGCUUCGGCCUGGCGGCGAGUGGCGAACGGGUGAGUAAUAUAUCGGGAACGUACCCAAGAGUGGGGGAUAACGUAGCGAAAGUUACGCUAAUACCGCAUACGAUCUAAGGAUGAAAGCAGGGGAUCGCAAGACCUUGUGCUCCUGGAGCGGCCGAUAUCUGAUUAGCUAGUUGGUGAGGUAAAAGGCUCACCAAGGCAACGAUCAGUAGCUGGUCUGAGAGGACGACCAGCCACACUGGAACUGAGACACGGUCCAGACUCCUACGGAGGCAGCAGUGGGGAAUUUUGGGACAAUGGGGGCAACCCUGAUCCAGCAAUGCCGCGUGAGUGAAGAAGGCCUUCGGGUUGUAAA
rnacentral:rRNA from 1 species